rnacentral:rRNA from 1 species
GAUCCUGGCUCAGGACGAACGCUGGCGGCGUGCUUAACACAUGCAAGUCGAACGGUGCGUAGAAAUACGCAUAGUGGCGGACGGGUGAGUAACGCGUGAGCAACCUGCCUCUGUCAGGGGGAUAACACUUAGAAAUAGGUGCUAAUACCGCAUAAGACCACGGCCCGGCAUCGGGGAGUGGUAAAAGCCGAGACGGACAGAGAUGGGCUCGCGUCCCAUUAGCUAGUUGGUGAGGUAACGGCCCACCAAGG